AGCAGCCGCGGUAAUUCCAGCUCCAAUAGCGUAUAUUAAAGUUGUUGCAGUUAAAAAGCUCGUGGUUGAAUUUCGGGGUCUGUCCAUUGGUCGGGCUUUACGGUCCGUACUGGUGUGAUAGGUUCCUACCUUCUGAAUAACCGGCAUGCCAUUCAGUUGGUGCGUCGGGGAAGCAGAGCUAUUACCUUGAAAAAAUUAGAGUGCUUAAAGCAGGCUAUUGCUUGAAUAGAUUAGCAUGGAAUAAUAAAAUAGGACGGCAUGGUUCUAUUUUGUUGGUUUCUAGGAUCACCGUAAUGAUUAAUAGGGAUAGUUGGGGGCAUUAGUAUUCAAUUGUCAGAGGUGAAAUUCUUGGAUUUAUUGAAGACUAACUUCUGCGAAAGCAUUUGCCAAGGAUGUUUUCAUUAAUCAAGAACGAAAGUUAGGGGAUCGAAGACGAUCAGAUACCGUCGUAGUCUUAACCAUAAACUAUGCCGACUAGGGAUCGGACGAUGUUAAUUUUUUAAUGACUCGUUCGGCGCCU
rnacentral:rRNA from 1 species